AUUGAACGCUGGCGGCAUGCCUUACACAUGCAAGUCGAACGGCAGCGGACCUUCGGGUGCCGGCGAGUGGCGAACGGGUGAGUAAUGUAUCGGAACGUACCUUUCAGUGGGGGAUAACGUAGCGAAAGUUACGCUAAUACCGCAUAUUCUGUGAGCAGGAAAGCAGGGGAUCGCAAGACCUUGCGCUGAUUGAGCGGCCGAUAUCAGAUUAGCUAGUUGGUGAGGUAAAGGCUCACCAAGGCGACGAUCUGUAGCGGGUCUGAGAGGAUGAUCCGCCACACUGGAACUGAGACACGGUCCAGACUCCUACGGGAGGCAGCAGUGGGGAAUUUUGGACAAUGGGCGCAAGCCUGAUCCAGCCAUGCCGCGUGAGUGAAGAAGGCCCU
rnacentral:rRNA from 1 species